UCUUCCUUGGUCUAGUGGUCAUGAUUUCCGCUUGUCAAUCUGAUUAGGAUAACAAGCGCGGGAGACCGGGGUUCGAUUCCCCGAGGGAGAG
rnacentral:tRNA from 1 species